rnacentral:rRNA from 1 species
UACAGAGGGUGCGAGCGUUAAUCGGAAUUACUGGGCGUAAAGCGCACGUAGGCGGCUUGGUAUGUCGGGUGUGAAAUCCCCCGGGCUCAACCUGGGAACUGCAUCCGAAACUGCCUUGCUAGAGUAUGGGAGAGGGAAGUGGAAUUUCCGGUGUAGCGGUGAAAUGCGUAGAUAUCGGAAGGAACAUCAGUGGCGAAGGCGACUUCCUGGACCAAUACUGACGCUCAGGUGCGAAAGCGUGGGGGAGCAAACAGG